ACAUUGAAAAAGAAGGGGCAGGUGCAGCAAGUCUGGCUGAUAGGGGACUAGUUGGUGGGGGAUUUUCACACUGAGUUGUGAGGGCCUCUCUGGCAAGAGCAGUGAACUCAUGGUUAAGCCUUUGCAAUCCUGUGAAGCUCAAGGAUGUUAAGGCAGCACUUGAAAGCUUAGGCCUUGCAAUUCUCUCUACCUGGAAAGUAAGAAGACAGAGACCAAGUCUUACUUCUCUUUGUAUGAACAGUUUCCGGCCAUGAACUCAGUGACCGUCCUCGGCCUGUUUCAGAGCCCAGAGCACCCAAUCGGAUGUUAAAGAGUUUCAAAUCUAGUGAAGAAGGUUGAUGUUCACACAACUACCUCUAGAAGAAUGCAGAGUGUGGUUUCAACGUUAGUAAAUGGAGCCUGCUUGAUAGAGAAAGGAAGAGCAUUCCAGAGGAAGAGUGACUAGAACACCCUCUGGCAUAGUAGAUGCACAAGAAAUAUUGUGGAAUGACUUGUGACCUCCACGGACAGGACUGGAGAAAGAGAAGAGAAGCGGUAUGAGAAAACCAGACAGGAUGGAAAGCUAAACAUAGUGAGGACCAUGUUGACAUUGCCCUUACUACAGGACAAGGUAAUGCUAGUGACUCUUAAUGCCUAAGUCACGCUGUACAUUAUUAGCUUCUAGUCACACACAAGGCUACAGAGAAUGUGCAAUGUGGCUAGUGGAAAUUAAGAUGUUCAGUAAGCAUCAAAUACACACUAAGUUUCAAAACUUAGCAGAAAGAAAACAAGAAUGUAAAAUAUCAAAUUAAUAAUUUCAGUGUGGGGCGC